rnacentral:rRNA from 1 species
CUGCAUGGCAGACGGCUGAGUAACACGUGGGAACCUACCCCUGAGUCGAGCAUAACCCAUCGAAAGGUGGAAUAAUUCUCGAUACGCCUCCGGGUGAAAGAUUUAUCGCUCGGGGAGGGGCCUGCGUCCGAUUAGCUUGUUGGUGGGGUAAUGGCCUACCAAGGCUCUGAUCGGUAACUGGUCUGAGAGGAUGACCAGUCAGACUGGGACUGAGACACGGCCCAG